rnacentral:rRNA from 1 species
CGGAGCAUGCGGCUUAAUUCGACGCAACGCGAAGAACCUUACCAAGGCUUGACAUAUACAGGAAUAUGGCAGAGAUGUCAUAGCCGCAAGGUCUGUAUACAGGUGGUGCAUGGUUGUCGUCAGCUCGUGUCGUGAGAUGUUGGGUUAAGUCCCGCAACGAGCGCAACCCUCGUUCUGUGUUGCCAGCAUUUAGUUGGGGACUCACAGGAGACUGCCGGGGUUAACUCGGAGGAAGGUGGGGAUGACGUCAAAUCAUCAUGCCCCUUAUGUCUUGGGCUGCAUGCAUGCUACAAUGGCUGGUACAAACGGCUGCGAUACCGCAAGGUGGAGCGAAUCCGAUAAAGCCAGUCUCAGUUCGGAUUGGGGUCUGCAACUCGACCCCAUGAAGUCGGAGUUGCUAGUAAUCGUAGAUCAGCAACGCUACGGUGAAUACGUUCCCGGGGCUUGUACACACCGCCCGUCACAUCACGA